GUGCCAGCAGCCGCGGUAACACGUAGGGGGCAAGCGUUGUCCGGAUUUAUUGGGCGUAAAGAGCUCGUAGGUGGUUCGGUAAGUCGGGUGUUAAACCCCCAGGCUCAACCUGGGGACGCCACUCGAUACUGCUGUGACUUGAGUCCGGUAGGGGAGCGUGGAAUUCCUGGUGUAGCGGUGAAAUGCGCAGAUAUCAGGAGGAACACCAGCGGCGAAGGCGGCGCUCUGGGCCGGUACUGACACUGAGGAGCGAAAGCGUGGGUAGCAAACAGGAUUAGGUACCCCAGUAGUCC
rnacentral:rRNA from 1 species